rnacentral:rRNA from 1 species
UCGGGGUCGCGGACAGUGCCUGGUGGGUAGUUUGACUGGGGCGGUCUCCUCCCAAAGAGUAACGGAGGAGCACGAAGGUGGGCUAAUCACGGUUGGACAUCGUGAGGUUAGUGCAAUGGCAUAAGCCCGCUUAACUGCGAGAAUGACGGUUCGAGCAGGUGCGAAAGCAGGUCAUAGUGAUCCGGUGGUUCUGAAUGGAAGGGCCAUCGCUCAACGGAUAAAAGGUACUCCGGGGAUAACAGGCUGAUACCGCCCAAGAGUUCAUAUCGACGGCGGUGUUUGGCACCUCGAUGUCGGCUCAUCACAUCCUGGGGCUGAAGUCGGUCCCAAGGGUAUGGCUGUUCGCCAUUUAAAGUGGUACGCGAGCUGGGUUUAGAACGUCGUGAGACAGUUCGGUCCCUAUCUGCCGUGGGCGUUGGAAGAUUGAAGGGGGCUGCUCCUAGUACGAGAGGACCGGAGUGGACGAACCUCUGGUGUUCGGGUUGUGUCGCCAGACGCAUUGCCCGGUAGCUAAGUUCGGAAUCGAUAACCGCUGAAAGCAUCUAAGCGGGAAGCGAGCCCUGAGAUGAGUCUUCCCUGAUACUUUAAGUAUCCUAAAGGGUUGUUCGAGACUAGAACGUUGAUAGGCAGGGUGUGUAAGCGCUGUGAGGCGUUGAGCUAACCUGUACUAAUUGCCCGUGAGGCUUAACCAUACAACACCCAAAGGGUUUUG